rnacentral:lncRNA from 1 species
CUUGACGGCCGCAUAAAGCGCGUCCCAUUGAUCCAAAGGCAGGAUGCGUGCGUCGAUGAGCGCGCACACCACGUCCAUGUGGUUUGCACGCACCGCCGCCACGUGCGCGCCCACGCCCACAUUGACACUGGCGUCGGACCUGGCGACCAGCCAUCGCACGGCGUCAAUGUGGCCGUGUGCGGUCGCCGCACAGCCGAUCGAUGGCGACGGCCAACCCGGUAUGCGCGGCACGGCGUGUUGGGUCGCGGCGCCGUCGCCCAUGGCCCAUUGGAGCACCUCGAUGCGCCCGGCGCUCGCCGCCUCCAAGAGCGCCGACGGCGGGCACCUUUGGGCACCGAGUCCGUGAAAUGCACGCAAGACACGGACGUGCCCUCGUGAUGCCGCCGUCACGAGCGCCGCAGCCAGCAAUGGGUCGGCAGAGGGCCACGUUGGCACGCCCAACGCACGCCCCAGCCAUUCAGAGGCGCUCGCAGCGCCCUGUUGCAUGGCCAAGAUCAACGGAUGCCGCCCUCUGGCCUCGCGCACAGGCGACGCCCAAGGCACCAGGCCCGGGUUGAAGCGGCCGGAACAAGCGGCUGCGUCGAGCCACGCGAGCAUGUCCCCUCGGUCGGCGUUGGCCGCCGCCUCCCACGUGCGCAUCGGGCAGGCGCACACCCUGCCUCGGUACAUGUCAUUUACCGGAGGGAAACGCGACUGUCCAUAAUGGUGCAGGUAGGCCACGAUGUCGGUCGACGGCGCCGACCCGCCGGCAGCGUCGGCUACCAGCGCCGUAAACAAGUCCCUCUCCAGAUAGUCGGGUCGCGUCCUGCCGGGCGGAAAAUGGCGGUCCAGCAGCCAUUUGAGGACGUCGACGUUGCCGCGGUAGGCGGCCUCGUGCAUGGCGUUGACGGCGAUGCCCACGUACCGCUUUCUCACAUCGCCGGGAAACAGUUUUAUGCUCUGCCAGCGUUUUCGGUUCCAGUAGCCAUCGACGAGCACGUGCUUGUUGGGCAUCCUGUCCGCGGAGCACGUGUAAAGGACAUAGUCGGCGUCCAGAUGGUCGUAGGCCCAUGCGACGACGUCGAGGCGACCCAGAUGAGCGCCCGAACCCACCAGACGCUCGGCGUCGGCCUCUGUCGGGUGGACCAGGGCGCGUUGAAUGACGUCCAGUGGCGCGCGGGCUCGCAACAGCUUGUACGCGCUCACCUCACAGAGGGACCGACGCAAGAGGGCCAAGGAAAAGAGGCGCGAGGCCAAGACGCACGCGGCGUGGUCCCGCGGGUGCACCAGAUACCCCUGAAUAUGCCACAAGAGUUCGACGGGUAUCGCCGGCAACACAGGAGAAGGGACAACCUCUGAGUCGAACUCGCGGCCGAUGUCUGCUGUUGCGGCUGUCGCCGUCGUCUCUGUCAUUGCUGAGGUGAAGGAAACAAAAAAAAGAGAGUGGACGACAGGCGAUCGAGGCCGACGCGAUGCCAUCGAGCAACAAAGAAAUCACACAAAUGGCCAAUAGGGAGAACGGGUCGAUUUGUC